rnacentral:misc_RNA from 1 species
AAGGAUCAUUAUCGAAUAUAAACCUGGAUGAACUGUUGCUGGCUUCUCUUUGAGGGGGGCAUGUGCACGUUUAUCCUCUUUAUUUUUCCACCUGUGCACCUUUUGUAGGCUUGGAUUAUCUCAGUGGUUCUAACGUGUCUUUCAAAGGCACAAGAACUUUUUUGGGGCUGCUGUGUUUAAACACAUGUUUAUCGGCUUUCCCUUUUAUUUUCCAAGUCUAUGUUUGCUAUAUACACUCCAGAAAUGUAAUAGAAUGCUGUACUUGGGUCAUUUGUACCUAUAAUAAAAUCAGUACAACUUUCAGCAACGGAUCUCUUGGCUCUC